rnacentral:rRNA from 1 species
UACGGGGGGGGCAAGCGUUGUUCGGAAUUACUGGGCGUAAAGGGCGCGUAGGCGGCCUUCUAAGUCGAACGUGAAAUCCCCGGGCUCAACCCGGGAACUGCGUCCGAUACUGGAAGGCUUGAAUCCGGGAGAGGGAUGCGGAAUUCCAGGUGUAGCGGUGAAAUGCGUAGAUAUCUGGAGGAACACCGGUGGCGAAGGCGGCAUCCUGGACCGGUAUUGACGCUGAGGCGCGAAAGCCAGGGGAGCAAAGCGGGAU